AAUUUCCUUUUUGUGAAAUGUGAUCACUGUGGAUUAUUAUGUGUAAAAUUGCAAAAAUAUCAUUAAUGCAUGUGUGACGGUGAUUUAAAGCCAAUUCACUUCAAUAAAGAUAACUUUACAUG